AUUGAACGCUGGCGGCAGGCCUAACACAUGCAAGUCGAGCGGAUGAGGGGAGCUUGCUCCCUGAUUUAGCGGCGGACGGGUGAGUAAUGCCUAGGAAUCUGCCUGGUAGUGGGGGAUAACGUUCCGAAAGGAACGCUAAUACCGCAUACGUCCUACGGGAGAAAGCAGGGGACCUUCGGGCCUUGCGCUAUCAGAUGGGCCUAGGUCGGAUUAGCUAGUUGGUGAGGUAAUGGCUCACCAAGGCGACGAUCCGUAACUGGUCUGAGAGGAUGAUCAGUCACACUGGAACUGAGACACGGUCCAGACUCCUACGGGAGGCAGCAGUGGGGAAUAUUGGACAAUGGGCGAAAGCCUGAUCCAGCCAUGCCGCGUGUGUGAAGAAGGUCUUCGGAUUGUAAAGCACUUUAAGUUGGGAGGAAGGGCUGCUGGUUAAUACCCUGCAGUUUUGACGUUACCAACAGAAUAAGCACCGGCUAACUUCGUG
rnacentral:rRNA from 1 species